AAUCAACGCUGGCGGCGUGCCUCAGACAUGCAAGUCGAACGAUUAAGACUUCCUUCGGGAAGUGAAUAGAGUGGCGCACGGGUGAGUAACACGUAAGUAAUCUACCUUCGAGUGGGAGUAACGUCCGGAACGGACGCUAAUACCGCAUAAUGCAGCGGCACCUAAUGGUGACAGUUGUUAAAGAUUUAUUCGCUUGAAGAGGAGCUUGCGGCAGAUUAGCUAGUUGG
rnacentral:rRNA from 1 species